AAUGGCUUUACUGCAGUAUCAGCGUGAAAAACUUCAUUUUCUGAGUGAGGAGGUUCUCCGAUUGCAAGAGUGCAUAAGCAAAUAUGAAGGAUCUAAUGAUGGAACCACACCUCAGGUCGAUCUUGCCCAUCUAUUAGCAGCACGUGAUCAAGAAUUGCGAACACUAUCAGCUGAGGUACACUAGUUAAUAUUGGAAACAUGAAAAUUUGCGG